CUUGACCAGCCUGAUUGGUUGCAGGAGGGGACCAAUCAGAGGUACCUCCCAUUUUUCAUCUGCAGCCCAAUGCAAAGUAAUGACAUGGAUCUGGAGAGAUUCUCUUAGGAGAGAAUCUGGCUAAGUGUCUAGCAGGAUGAUUGAUUAACAAGAUGUUUUGUUUUCAUCAUCUCAGAGAUAACUGUAUUGAGGUAUAAUUGAUAUGCCAAAUAACUGGACACAUUCAACUUGUGCAAUUUGAUGAGUUUGGAGAUACACAUACAUCUGUGAAACCAUCACCAAAAUCAAGAUGCUGGUGCCUGCAGUGGAGGCUGCUUGAAAUACAUCUGGUCCAGUCACAGCCUUGAUUGGGGCCAGUGCCUGUGCCAGCACCUGGAGCUGCCUGCCCCACCACAGCAGCCAGCGUGCCUGGCUGUGCACAGAGGCCAGACCUGUGCUCACUCACUCACACGCCCCUCACCACUCUGUGCCUGGCUCACCCUUGGCAGGCAUGGGAUCUCGGCCAGUAGCACGAGCCAAGCACAGCCUGCUGGGCCAAGUGGGUAAAACGAGCCCAGUGGGUGCGAGCAAGACUCAAGCAGAGGCACCACCAGCCGCCGAGGCACCACCAGCCACAGAGGUUUCUGGCUGGUGAAGCAACACCUGAAGAAUCCUAUGGCAUUUUCCUGACUUUGAAAUUUACCCACUUAGUCAAGAAAAUAUGAAGCUAUUCAUUCCCUUUACUUGUCUAGCAGAAUAUUUCCACAUAGAAGAUUUUAGUCUUUGUCAUCAAGACUGCGUAACAUUUAACACUCCACCACAUCAAAAUGCUACUUACACAUACAUAAUAAACACUCAGAGAGGAAUGCUGCCUCAGACAUCAUCUUUUCUUCACUCUGUCUAAAGCAUGAAUGUCCUUAGAUGUUCAUUCAAAAUUAGUGCCAGGGAGUGCUAUUUGGCAAGGCCACUUAGAA
rnacentral:lncRNA from 10 species